rnacentral:rRNA from 1 species
UACGGAGGUGGCAAGCGUUGCUCGGAAUCACUGGGCGUAAAGGCGCGUAGGCGGGGAGGUAAGUCGGGUGUGAAAUCCCUCGGCCCAACCGAGGAACUGCGCCCGAGACUGCUUCUCUUGAGUCCCGGAGAGGAAGAUGGAAUUCCCGGUGUAGCGGUGAAAUGUGUAGAGAUCGGGAGGAACACCGGUGGCGAAGGCGGUCUUCUGGACGGUGAC